AUACUGACAGCUUCGAGUUGAUCAUUUUCGACAUAUACAACACACACACACACACACAUUUAUAUAUAUAUAUAGAUACAGGUAUAUAUAUAUAUAUAUCCACUAAAAUCAUGAUCAUGGAUUUCAGGCAAGCUGCUGUGCUUACAUGUUCUUCUCUUCCUCUUGUGAGUUGUGUGAUGGGUAUUCUUCGUCAUCUUUUUCAGUCGACUCUGAAGUCAACUACUUGCAGAGAUGAUCGUGAGGAGAAUCUGAUGAGUAGAAAUGGUGAAAGGAAGCUUUGAUGCAACUACUGCCAAUAGAGCAGCUCAAAAGCAAUUCAAGCAGUUCAAAACUGAUUGGAGAUGAUUUUGGAGUUCUGAUUCUUGACGGAGAAAAGCUGUAAGCUGUAAGGUCAUGACUGUUGCUUGCUUGGGAAAUUAAUUAUGGUCUUACUGUUGUUGUCUUGAAUCCAAACAAUUGACAAGGUAGAAAUAUAUGCGUUUUGGCUCUUCAUGAUUUCAGAGAAGAAACUGAGUAUUUUCCUUCUUUAUGUCUACACACACAUACAUGAUUGAAAAUUGUUUAUGAUUUUCAUGUGUAA